UGGCGGCGCGCCAGGCUUCGGUCUCGGCGUCGGGUGAGGGCCGGGGCCACCGGUGAGAGGCCGUGCUGAGGAUGCAGUUGUCUGUUUCUCCCCUGGGGAUACCGUUUACUGCACCCACCUCAGGCUUGAGUGGGUUGUCUCUGCCUGGCCUCACUCUCCUCGCAGCGUGGGGGCAAAAAGGGAUGGUUGGAGCACUUGCUGACUGUGGACAGGUGCUGCCACAGCUGAAGGUAGAGAGGCCAGAUUAAAGGUAAAGAAGAAGAAAUCAAAGGCCAUCUGGCCAGGAGCUGCCUCCUGUUACAGGCAAGAGAGAGCCUGUCUUUCCGGGUGAGGAAGGAUCCCCCUUUGUAGUUCUCGGCAGGUCAGACCGCCAGCGUGCACCACAGGGUCUGUGGAGGACAGCCAAGCGACCGGAGUUACAGAAGAGGAGGGGAGGAGAGAAGGAGAAAGAAGCGUCUGAACUGGCAAAUUCUCCCAGCAGCGCCAAGAGUGAGAGCUGCGUGUCCUGCGCCCUGCUCCUCAUUUUUGGCAGCCUCCACCUCUGCCCAGCAGCCCAUCACUCCAGGAGCUGACUGACCGACUGACUAUCCAUUCCCCACUGGACUGACAAGCGCAGCUCCGGAAACGACUGCUGAGGUGUCCCAGGGGCAGGGGGAGCGCUGGGGGCUCUGAGCCCUGGAGCAGACUCGCUCCCGGGACUUGGUACAUGCAUGACUGAAUAAACACUUGCUGUCUCCUUUGCCCUUCUGGCUGUGUUUGCUCU